UUGGAGCUUGGUGGGAGCUUGGUUGGUGCUUGGUUGGAGCUUGGUUGGUGCUUGGUUGGAGCUUGGUUGGUGCUUGGUUGGAGCUUGGUUGGUGCUUGGUUGGAGCUUGGUGGGAGCUUGGUUGGAGCUUGGUUGGAGCUUGGUUGGUGCUUGGUUGGAGCUUGGUUGGUGCUUGGUUGGUGCUUGGUGGGAGCUUGGUUGGAGCUUGGUUGGAGCUUGGUUGGUGCUUGGUUGGAGCUUGGUUGGAGCUUGGUUGGAGCUUGGUUGGAGCUUGGUUGGUGCUUGGUUGGAGCUUGGUUGGAGCUUGGUUGGUGCUUGGUUGGUGCUUGGUUGGUGCUUGGUUGGUGCUUGGUUGGAGCUUGGUUGGUGCUUGGUUGGAGCUUGAUUGGAGCUUGGUGGGAGCUUGGUUGGAGCUUGGUUGGAGCUUGGUUGGUGCUUGGUUGGAGCUUGGUUGGUGCUUGGUUGGAGCUUGGUUGGUGCUUGGUUGGAGCUUGGUGGGAGCUUGGUUGGAGCUUGGUUGGAGCUUGGUUGGUGCUUGGUUGGAGCUUGGUUGGUGCUUGGUUGGAGCUUGGUUGGUGCUUGGUUGGAGCUUGGUGGGAGCUUGGUUGGAGCUUGGUUGGAGCUUGGUUGGUGCUUGGUUGGAGCUUGGUUGGUGCUUGGUUGGAGCUUGGUUGGUGCUUGGUUGGAGCUUGGUGGGAGCUUGGUUGGAGCUUGGUUGGAGCUUGGUUGGUGCUUGGUUGGAGCUUGGUUGGUGCUUGGUUGGAGCUUGGUUGGUGCUUGGUUGGAGCUUGGUGGGAGCUUGGUGGGUGCUUGUUCAAACGUGUUAAGUUGAACCGUGUGUUUUUGAGGCUGAUAGCCUCGUUUCCCUACGCAACGGUUCUUGGCGUAAGCAGAAAAGGGUGUGUUUUACUCCUCCAACUCUUUUCUAUUUACUCAUUUCUAAUGAAUUUUUCCUCUUCAGUGGCUUUUCAAGUUAAAACUUCAGGAAAACAGAAGUAAACCGGCUACGUUAUUGUUAGCAAGCAAGCACUAGCUAACACACAAAAAUAAACAGCAUUAAACACAAAACAGAAAAACUAAACAAGAAAAACACAAUCUUGAUGAUUUGCUUUGUUACUAGUAGGAAAUAGACACAUUUAUUUUUUUGUUUUUUGCUUAUUUAACUCAAAGCACAUGGAACAGCCCUGGAUUCUUACCUACACAAGCAGCGAAUGUGUAUUCAUCCACUACCGAACUGCGCUACCGAAUCCACCCUUGAAAUCCUAAGGGUUUGUAUUUCCCUGUCACAGUAAUAUCUGCUAAAAUCCUCUUUUUUCCUUUUAAAAUCUAAAAUUUUAUGAGGAAUAAAAUCCUCAUAUGAUUAAUCUACUAAGAGGUUAACAGAAAAAAAUACAACAAUAAUUGUUAUAGAAUUCAGAAAUUCUAUAACAUGAUUCAAAAACGUGCGCUACAAAGUUAUACCAGUACUCGUAUUUUGUUAAUAGGACGAGAAACUGUUUGUUUUAUUUUUUAAAUUUCUUUACACGAAAAAAAAAUGUCUUAUACCCCUGCAUUCAGUAAAUGUAUAUUAAUCCGCCACAGGAAAUAGUCCCUACCAAGAGUUUGCUUUCUCUUGUUUGACUAUUAUGUCCAAAAAUUUUAAAUUCCCAGCUGCUCAGAGAAAUUACCCAAUAGUUUUUAUUUUAACAUUGAAUUGUAUCAUUAUGACCCGUUUAAGAAGAUUCAUGUAUUUGGGAGGACUAUAAAAGGAGUAAAAGAGGGGAAUUACUGAAGUCUGUCAAUGAAUUGCUUAUAACUUACCAACCACCUUACUCGUGCUGCUGCACAUCCUUGACCUGAACUUCUGACACGAUUGCAUGUUCUGCAGUUUGUACUAUAUCAGCAUUUGACAAACUUUGACAAUAUGAAUGACAAUUAUAUUUUGUUACUAUUGAGUGUGUUUGUAUUCAGAAUGUAAUAAUAAUCUUUGUGUGCAAUCAAAGAAGUUGUGUAACUAUAAAAAAUGAUUAAAUUAUAUGAAAAUAUUUCUCUAGUGCUGUUCUUCCUGUAAAACACUCAAAAAGAAAAAUGCGGCUUCAAAAAUGACCAAAACUUUGUGUUAAAAGAGGCGAGUGUGUACUGAAGACGUUGUGUAUAUGUAGUGUUAGGUGUGGCAGCAUGAUCUAUGACUUGCUAAAGACCCCUGAAACAGAAAACAGGAAGUAAAGUCAACCACAGUAUGUACCUGUGAUGCACAUACACUUCACAGAAGUCGAUUUUUCCUCAAGUGACCAGCAUGAAACAUAAAAAUUGCAGUUUUAUUUUUUAUCUGCUGAUUUCAGCCUUGGUAAUCUUCGAUCUGGACGCUGAUACAGUUGAAGACUCCGACUGUUACUCUGAAAUCAGAGUACGCCGCUUCACAAAGUAUGAAGCUGUUCUUGGAGAAGAUUUCAGGAUUGAAUGUCCAGUUACUUUUUGUAAUGCUUCACCUCCAGAAGUCCGGUGGUAUAAAGAUGAAGAUUCUGGUCUUCAUGCCAUCGUCAUCAGUGAUGGAGACACUGAAGUGGAGUGGAAACAUGAAAAUGAAUCUGCAGGAAAAUCCUAUCUGAUCUUCCGAAACAUUAAAAAAAAUGAAGGUUUUUAUCGGUGUCUGAUUCCAGGCAAUAUGGGUCACAACAUCAACGUCUCUGUCAAUGGCGACUGUCACCCAGAAAUUACAGUGCGCCGCAACACAGUUUAUGAAGCAUUUCUCGGACAAGAACUCAGGAUUAACUGCUCGGUUGCUUUCUGCGACGAUCUCCCACCAAAAAUCUCCUGGCAUAAACUUACACACACUGGUGUCCGUGUGGGUGUCAUCAGUAAACAUCAGGUUAAGACGGAGGUGGUAGACGAGCUGGAGGGAAAGUCCUAUUUGAUAAUCCAACGCGCUCUUAGGAGCGACUCGGGUCGGUACCAGUGUCGGAGCGGGGGCAGCGUGAGUCACGUCAUCAACGUCGUGAUCAAGGGUCAGUCAGGACCGUUGUGGUACAUGAAGAAAGUUAAAGCUGUUGAAUGAUGUUCUUUGUAGUAAAUAAAUAUUCUCAAUCCUUUUCAGGUGAUACAGAGCUCACUACAGCUCCAGCUUUGACUACAGAGAGCCCCACGCAGAGUGUUUUCUGGCAUUACAUGCACCGAGUUAUAGGAAUCCUGGCUUUUUUCACUGUCGUGAUAAUAAUAUGCUUUACAGCCCAUCUUCUGCAUAAAGGUGAGACUUGUUUUGAUGGCUACUUGCAGACUCCUGGAUGUCGUCAUUUUGAAAACAGAAUCUGAUUUAACUUUAUGUCCAUGUCCGUGCAGGAAAAUCCCAAAACACGGCAGCUCCAAGUCUCGGGCCUUCCCACCCCAUCUAUGAAAUGAACCCGUAGCAUCUGUUUCUGCACCAACCUGAUCUCACAAAAAUCCGUG